ACUGUUCUGCUAACCUCCAUGUUCCAUGAGAUAUUUCCUUCUUUUGGUACCCAUAAAAUCCAAGGGAUUUAUGAUCCCUGGUAAACCCAGCAUACAAACAGAGAAACCGUCUCCUUCUGUGAGCAAAUUAAUUUCUCUUGUAAAAGGACUCACAUUAGGCCUUCAGGUCUUCAGCUAAGGUACCAAGACAGCCUUCCUUGUCAUGGAAGUGCCUUUGCAGGUAGAUGCUCCCGUUGACUUGGACUGAAGCUCCCAAGGGAUCACCUUAGCCAAGCGCAGUCACCCUGAACACACUGUCUCCUUGGAGCUGACACCUGCAGGUCAAGCUACAGUCAAGGCUACCAGUAGACAGCCUGAUCCCACUCUCCCUGUGCACAGGGCAGACACAUCAAGCCUGGGCUGCAGUAUGUGACACAGAAGAAGGGAAAGGAUAACAGUGAAGGAAAUACUUGAGAUCUCAAGAGAUUCUUUGUGAUGCUCCUGCUAACUGGAUAAGAAGACACCAAUGCCAAAAAUAUCCAUCCAACAUAUACACAUACUGGCUUCUUCCUUGAAAAACUGCCUGGCCUCUGGAACCUCAGUUUCUCAGGACUGCAGCUGGAAAGAGAACCCUCAAGAUUCAGCUACCCAGAUAUCUUGCAGAGUGUACGUAGAGGCAGAAAGAAUGGCUCUGCCAUGAGUGAUCUCAACAGGGAAUCACCACACUUGCAGUGAUAGGCACUGAGGGACAAAGAUGGGUAAUUUAUCCAGUUUAUUUGGGAAAGAGAAGCAAGGGGAUUCCAAACAUGCACACUAUUCACAGAGAAAUAUUUAA